CCCUUAGACGUUCUGGGCCGCACGCGCGCUACACUGACACAGGCAACGAGCUUUCCUUUACCGAAAGGUAUGGGCAAUCUUUUGAAACUGUGUCGUGCUGGGGAUAGAUCCUUGCAAUUUUUGAUCUUAAACGAGGAAUUCCUAGUAAGCGCGAGUCAUCAACUCGCGUUGAUUACGUCCCUGCCCUUUGUACACACCGCCCGUCGCUACUACCGAUUGAAUGGCUUAGUGAGGCCUCAGGAUCCGCGCUUAAUGUGUGGAGAAUUUGGACAAACUACGUCAUUUAGAGGAAGUAAAAGUCGUAACA
rnacentral:rRNA from 1 species